rnacentral:rRNA from 1 species
GACGAACGCUGGCGGCGUGCUUAACACAUGCAAGUCGAACGAAGUGGCGAACGGGUGAGUAACGCGUAAUCAACCUGCCCUUCAGAGGGGGACAACAGUGGGAAACGACUGCUAAUACCGCAUACUGAAGGAGGGGAUUGCGGCUGAUUAGCUAGUUGGAGGGGUAGCGGCCCACCAAGGCGAUGAUCAGUAGCCGGGCUGAGAGGAUGAACGGCCACAGUGGGACUGAGACACGGCCCAGACUCCUACGGGAGGCAGCAGUGGGGAAUCUUCCGAAAGGGACGAAAGUCUGACUGAGCAACGCCGCGGGAGUGAUGACGGCCUUCGGGUUGUAAAGCGCUGUUAAUCGGGACGCGGUACCGGAAUAGAAAGCCACGGCUAACUACGUGCCAGCAGCCGCGGUAAUUC